GAUGAAGAACGUAGCGAAAUGCGAUACGUAAUGUGAAUUGCAAAUUCAGUGAAUCAUCGAGUCUUUGAACGCACAUUGCGCCCCCUGGUAUUCCGGGGGGCAUGCCUGUCCGAGCGUCAUUGCUGCCCUCAAGCACGGCUUGUGUGUUGGGCCCCGUCCUCCGAUCCCGGGGGACGGGCCCGAAAGGUAGCGGCGGCACCGCGUCCGGUCCUCGAGCGUAUGGGGCUUUGUCACCCGCUCUGUAGGCCCGGCCGGCGCUUGCCGAUCAACCCAAAUUUUUAUCCAGGUUGACCUCGGAUCAGGUAGGGAUACCCGCUGAACUUAAGCAUAUCAAUAAGCGGAGGA
rnacentral:misc_RNA from 1 species